rnacentral:rRNA from 1 species
GUGGGGAAUCUUGCGCAAUGGGCGAAAGCCUGACGCAGCCAUGCCGCGUGAAUGAUGAAGGUCUUAGGAUUGUAAAAUUCUUUCACCGGGGACGAUAAUGACGGUACCCGGAGAAGAAGCCCCGGCUAACUUCGUGCCAGCAGCCGCGGUAAUACGAAGGGGGCUAGCGUUGCUCGGAAUUACUGGGCGUAAAGGGCGCGUAGGCGGAUCGUUAAGUCAGGGGUGAAAUCCCAGAGCUCAACUCUGGAACUGCCCUUGAUACUGGCGAUCUUGAGUGUGAGAGAGGUAUGUGGAACUCCGAGUGUAGAGGUGAAAUUCGUAGAUAUUCGGAAGAACACCAGUGGCGAAGGCGACAUACUGACUCAUUACUGACGCUGAGGCGCGAAAGCGUGGGGAGCAAACAGGAUUAGAUACCCCGGUAGUCC